UGCCACUGCAUUGCUAUAUUA
rnacentral:piRNA from 1 species